CCGGCACGGGUGAGUAACACGUAUCCAACCUGCCGUCUACUCUUGGACAGCCUUCUGAAAGGAAGAUUAAUACAAGAUGGCAUCAUGAGUUCACAUGUUCACAUGAUUAAAGGUAUUCCGGUAGACGAUGGGGAUGCGUUCCAUUAGAUAGUAGGUGGGGUAACGGCCCACCUAGUCUUCGAUGGAUAGGGGUUCUGAGAGGAAGGUCCCCCACAUUGGAACUGAGACACGGUCCAA
rnacentral:rRNA from 1 species